rnacentral:lncRNA from 1 species
UCGCUUGAGCCAGGGAGGUGGAGGUUGCAGUGAGCUGAGAUCACAUCAUUGCACUCCAGCCUGGGCAACGGGUGAGACUCUGUCUAAAAAGAAAGAAAGAAAGAAAGAAAGAAAAUGUACAUGUAUAUAUUUGUCCUGCAUUAUGUUUUUUACUUGAUAUAAAUGUAUUUUUACUGUGAUAGCCCAAGUGCACUUGGGGGCAGGUGUGCUCUGUGUGGUUCUUCUUCCAUUGGAGAGCUGGCGUAGAGAUCUGCAGUGUUCACGAGGAUGUUGGUUUGGAGAUGUCUGCUGCUAGGACCUGGGGUGUGUGACUCAGUCCAUAUGAGAGGGACUUCUGGGUGGAGGAGUGAAUUCCUGUGCUCUGAAAUGCCACUUGGGAGCUCUGGACAAUGAAGGACAAUUGACUCAAGGGUGUCUGGCUUCUGCUGCUGCUGGGAAAAAAUUCAGUUUAUAGCAUUCCUGCACCUCCCAAAGUAGAUAACCUGGAGGUCAUUCAGUUAACAACUGUCCCUGAGGACUCAGUUUUGGGGGAGGGGUUAUCUGGGAGAAGCUUUAGCCUGUUCUGAGCCAUUAGGAGACAUUAGUGAAUUGGAGCACUGGAGAAUCCUACAAAUGGACUAUGUCUCAGAAGAGCUGGGACCUCCUUCCAGCUGCUGCAGAUGCUGACAGGCCCUGGGAGGCUGCUGUGCUCUGGAGAAGCCGGAGCAGCUCAUUUCUUGGCCUAGCCUGGCUGCCUCAGAAAGAGCAGUCAGGACUUGAGGGAAGCAUCAAAUUCUAUACCCGCAAACUGCAGUUGGAGGUCAGCUUUUUGAAAUGUCCAGCCUUUGCCCAAUUGUUUCAGAUCAUCUUAUUCCUCGGGCUUUGGCAGGUAUCCUGCCCUCCAUCUUAUUCCAGUGUGUUCACCUCAUCAAGGCAGCAGAGUGGAUGAAGGAGCAAGUCUGCCCUUUGCCAUACUGAACAGCUGUGGACCCUGAUUGGUGAGGGCUCUGCACAUGCCUGUAUGAAGGAGAUACAGGUGUGUGUGCACAUGCCUGUAUGAAGAAGAUACAGGCAUGUGCUUCUCAGUUUUGCUAACAGUGGGAGCUCAACGGGGCAGAGGGAGGAACGUCUGUGAUGCUCAGCCACAUACUGUAGAGAGAGGCAAUUUAAUGUUAAAUGACACGCCAUCCUCCCUCCCACCCUUCUCCCAGUAAACUUUUUUUCUUUUUCUAGAACUACUAAUUAUCUCUCAUGGCUGAAAAAUUAAUUGCCUUAGGUGGAGAACUUAAUUCCUAGUGUCCACCAAACUUAACUUCGUGGUGUCUCCGUAUCUACUGUGUGAGCUACUUAACUGACGCCCCCUUCCUCCAACUGAAGGAUCGCCCAACGUUUUUGGAUUAUAGAAUUAUUAUUUCCUGCUUUCUUUCUUUGGGACUUUUGAAUUUCUUUGAUUUCGUUUUUAAGAAGUAACCCAACAUUUCCUACAACACUAAAUAAAAUGGUACUUACCUU